rnacentral:lncRNA from 1 species
UCCGGAGUAGAGAACAAAAAUUAUUUACAGGAAACACUUACGUAUACAUGUUACACACGAAAAAAAAUUGUGCAUAAGAAUUUUUUUCUUUGGUCCUAGACUAAAUUAAAUUAUUUAGAAUUCAGGAGAACACACAAAAAGCAUUGCAAAAACACGUUGGUUCAUGGUACAAAAAAACAAAGCAUGUUCUAAUUGGUCCAGAAUAAGGAUCGAUCCACAAAUAUUUGCUCACAAGAAAAACUAACUAAUAUGUGUGCAUUAAAAAUGAUGUAACUUGACUCCCUGGAUCGGACUCAUUAAAAACUAACCUAGGAUGUAAUAAUUCAUAAGAAGAACGAAAAAAAUCAAACUCAAUUAUAUAUCAAUUCAAUCAACUUCAUUAAUUGAAACUAUGGAUGUAAUAAUUAAUAAGUAGGGAAAAUAUAAUAAAAAUCAAUUUUAUAUUACCUAAAUGAGAAUCAAUUGAACCAGGGAUGUAAUAAUUAAUAAGAAGAAGGGAAAAUGAAACUCAAUUAUACAUUAAGAUAAUCAACUUCAUUAAUUAAAACUAUGGAUGUAAUAAUUAAUAAGAAGGAAAAAUAUAAUCAAACUCAAUUCUAUAUUACAUUAAAAUGACAAACAUAGCAUUGUAGUGGUUAUAAUAUGACCAUAGUAUUUUAUUCAAAAAAAUAAUCCAUUUCUAGUUUUUUUCUCUCUCU